rnacentral:rRNA from 1 species
CGGAGGGUGCAAGCGUUAUCCGGAUUCACUGGGUUUAAAGGGUGCGUAGGCGGGUUGGUAAGUCAGUGGUGAAAUCCCCGAGCUUAACUUGGGAACUGCCAUUGAUACUAUUAAUCUUGAAUACCGUGGAGGUCGACGGAAUAUGUCAUGUAGCGGUGAAAUGCUUAGAUAUGACAUAGAACACCAAUUGCGAAGGCAGUUGACUACGCGAGUAUUGACGCUGAUGCACGAAAGCGUGGGGAUCAAACAGGAUUAGAUACCCUGGUAGUCCACGCCCUAAACUAUGGAUACUCGACAUACGCGAUACACUGUGUGUGUCUGAGCGAAAGCAUUAAGUAUCCCACCUGGGAAGUACGAUCGCAGGAUUG